CAACCUAAGUUGGUUAAUGCUACACCAACACGCCAGACUUAAUCUUGUGGAGUAAAACAUGAGCGAUAAAAUUAUUCACCUGACCGAU
rfam:Escherichia hermannii NBRC 105704 DNA, contig: EH10570417.